CUGGGCACCCAGACGUUGCAGGGGAAACGUGUGAUGGAGAAAAGCCAGCGUCUAUCCCCCCAAGAAUCCUGUGAUCAGACCGUCUGGCAACCUAGUGCACCUCUGGGUUGUGUGUCUGUCUCCGAGGUCUCGCUCUUCGCGGACGCGCCCCGAUUUUCGAGCCCUCCGUGCCAGCGCACAGGCGGGUCAGUGCUGGGGUGAGGAGGGAAGAACCAGCGGGCCCUCUCCGCGUCCUCUCCCUCCUCUCCCUCCUGGGCUACAGGCCUGCGGGGAGCCGAGCGCGCAGCCCCGCCGGCCUGAACUCUGGGCCCGCCGCGUGGGGGCGCUGGCGUGCAGACCCGGCGGAGCCAUGGGGCCCGGGACGCGCAACCUCUCCAAAGCCCCAUUGCAAAACAACCCGGCGGUGGAGCUCCGCGGCUCCCUGAACCCAAAGCCGCGAGCCCGUCCCCUCGCCCCGUGGCCCUGCCCGCCGCGCCCGCGCCCCUCCGCACCCAGGCGAAGGGGCCCAGGAAGGGACUCCAGGACUAAGGCGGGACCGCGGGCGGGGACGCAGGGCCGGGGGUCGCAGGGAGGCUGCCAGCGCCCGGGCCCGGAUACCCGCCCCAAAUCCCGCCUGGUCCCGGCGCCACCCGGGCCGACUCGCCUCUGUGCCGGCCUCCAGGCUGGCCCCGAGCCCCUGUGCUCGUUCUUUUCGUUUGAACAAGAUCCCUCGUGAGCCCGCGGCCUCUAAACCGUUUGCUCUUGUGGGCCCUCCAGGCUGCCGCGUGGGUCUCAAGGUGAAGGCCUGGAGGGCAGAGGGGUGGCGGUGACCCCGUUGCUCCAGCUCUCGGGGCCUGUGACUGCCCCAGCCACGUGCGGCGCGGGCGACGCCGCGGUUCGCGCGGUUCCAAGAGUGCGACCGCCCGGAGCCCAGCGCCUCUCAACCUUGCCCGGGCUCGGAACGUCGCGGGGCGUGUUCUCCGACACAGAGAAUUCGUGUGAGCCGACUGGCCUCGCCCUGACCUGCCCCUCUUAGGACAACACGGAAAACCGCUGGUGCAGGGUUUGCGAGUAGCUGGUUGCGUCCGCCGGGACCCGACAGACCGGCAGGCCCAGAGAACUCCGGGACUGUCUGGGGAACGCGCCAGGCCCAUGUCGGCUGGGGCGCUCGGAGCUGGGAGAGGGCGGAGAGCCUCCAUCCAGGCCGGAGCAUCCCAGAGCCCGAGGUGCGGAGCAGCAUGGAGCGCCCGAGGCGGGCGGCGCCAGGGCCAGAGUCUACCCAGGGGAUUUCUGCCGCCUUUAUAGGCUGGAAAAAUAAAGAUCAAAAACAAACCGAAAAAAA
rnacentral:lncRNA from 1 species